CUCAAAUUGUGUGAACUAUACCGUGGAAACAGAGAAAUAACAGAAACUCCCUUAAGUAGUUUAAGUAAACUUUAAGUAGAAGGUCUGGGAAACCCUACCCUUCGCUGAGCUCCGAAAAUCCCAAAGUUGCCUGGCUUCUGGUCGCCGACCAUAUUUUUGCCCGCCCACUCCCUUAUUAGGUAAUCGAGGUAGCUGUGAAACAAAGACCUAUCCCAUUCAGUGCUGCGGGCCUGCGCUCUGGGAAAUUUCUGCGUUUCUGCGGGGGCGUGCGUCUUCGGCGCUUUCCUGAGUUGACCGCGUCGCUUUGACCCCUCCUCUUUGAGCGGAAAGGCGGGAGGCGGGAGGACUCGGGGUCGCUGUCUGUGGUCGCACCUGUCCCGAGCUUCUGCCCAAGCAGCCCUCUCUCAUUCUUCCUCCAAGGGUCCCUGCUGGAGGAAAUCCGGCCCCAAGUUGUCUCAGGUCUUUGAAGUGUUGAGCAUUGGACGUAGUUUGAGAACCAAGUUCUGCGAAUUAGUAUCCAUCCUCUCAACUAAUGAUGACACUUCAAUUGUGCUUAAAGAAGACCACUCCUCCCCCAUUGGAUGCAGC
rnacentral:lncRNA from 1 species